UCCUGGCUCAGGACGAACGCUGGCGGCGUGCCUAAUACAUGCAAGUCGAGCGGUCCCUUCGGGGAUAGCGGCGGACGGGUGAGUAACACGUAGGCAACCUGCCUGUAAGAUUGGGAUAACUAUCGGAAACGAUAGCUAAGACCAGAUAACUGGUUCUCUCGCAUGAGGGAAUCAUGAAACACGGGGUAACCUGUGGCUUACAGAUGGGCCUGCGGCGCAUUAGCUAGUUGGUAGGGUAACGGCCUACCAAGGCGACGAUGCGUAGCCGACCUGAGAGGGUGAUCGGCCACACUGGGACUGAGACACGGCCCAGACUCCUACGGGAGGCAGCAGUAGGGAAUCUUCCGCAAUGGACGCAAGUCUGACGGAGCAACGCCGCGUGAGUGAUGAAGGUUUUCGGAUCGUAAAGCUCUGUUGCCAGGGAAGAACGCCUAGGAGAGUAACUGCUCUUAGGGUGACGGUACCUGAGAAGAAAGCCCCGGCUAACUACGUGCCAGCAGCCGCGGUAAUACGUAGGGGGCAAGCGUUGUCCGGAAUUAUUGGGCGUAAAGCGCGCGCAGGCGGUCAUUUAAGUUUGGUGUUUAAGCCCGGGGCUCAACCCCGGAUCGCACUGAAAACUGGGUGACUUGAGUGCGGGAGAGGAAAGUGGAAUUCCACGUGUAGCGGUGAAAUGCGUAGAGAUGUGGAGGAACACCAGUGGCGAAGGCGACUUUCUGGACCGUAACNGACGCUGAGG
rnacentral:rRNA from 1 species